CCCCCCCCCCCCCCCCCCCCCCCCCCCCCCCCCCCCCCCCCCCCCCCCCCCCCCCCCCCCCCCCUGCCGCCAGCGGGGCGGGGGCGGCCGCGCUCUGCCCCCCACGGGCGGGGGAUCGCCUGUGGGUUAUGGGCUGCAGUGACAGCGUCCGGCCAAGAGGAUUUUAUACACGCCCAACUGAGACACCGCCAGCCCCUUCCCCGCAGGUAACGGGAGCCGCGAACCCCCCCCCCCCCCCCCCCCCCCCCCCCCCCCCCCCCCCCCCCCCCCCCCCCCCCCCCCCCCCCCCCCCCCCCCCCCCCCCCCCCCCCCCCCCCCCCCCCCCCCCCCCCCCCCCCCCGCGCCCGGCUCAGCCCCGCGGCAGCGGCCCCUCCGCCAGCCCGGCCCCGAGCAGAGCCACCGCGGCACCGCUGCCGCCGUUCCCCGCCAUUGGGACCGCAGGAGGAACGCGCCGUGCAGCCCUAGCGCAGCAGGCUGGAAGGACUUGUGGGUAUUCUCGGGCCUCGCAUUUACAGACAAAUAUCAGUGGAAAUGCUCAUUUCGGAGACAAAGUCCUUAAACAUUGUGGGUAUUCUCGGGCCUCGCAUUUACAGAUAAAUAUCAGUGGACAUGCACAUUUCGGAGACAAAGUCCUUAAACCUUCUCGAAGGAUGUUCAGGGCGUUGUCCCCUCGCAGGGAGCAAGCGAAGGGGCCGAAAUUCUCGAUCAGUACUUUCACAGUCGCAGACAUAAAUCAAAACAAAGCGGUCCAAGUGUCUUUGGUGCCUAUUAGCACACCAGGGCGGCUGCAAUGCCAGCAGCGAGGGGCAGUGUUGUAAUAAAGGCAUUUGGCAAUUUCCUUGAAAGAAGUGCUGAUCACUCAGCUUCAAAGUGUUCUUGUACAGCAGCCCACGUUGGGUACCUUAUUGCUAAUGUGACCCCGAAUUUGUGUUUCUGCCUGCCUGCAGGCCAGCACGUGGAGACACUGCUAGAGAGUUGGGGCCAAUCACUGCAUUAAAGUGUAAGUUUG
rnacentral:lncRNA from 12 species